UGGGGAAUAUUGCACAAUGGGCGCAAGCCUGAUGCAGCCAUGCCGCGUGUGUGAAGGAGGCCUUCGGGUUGUAAAGCACUUUCAGCGAGGAGGAAGGUGGUGAACUUAAUACGUUCAUCAAUUGACGUUACUCGCAGAAGAAGCACCGGCUAACUCCGUGCCAGCAGCCGCGGUAAUACGGAGGGUGCAAGCGUUAAUCGGAAUUACUGGGCGUAAAGCGCACGCAGGCGGUUUGUUAAGUCAGAUGUGAAAUCCCCGGGCUCAACCUGGGAACUGCAUUUGAAACUGGCAAGCUAGAGUCUCGUAGAGGGGGGUAGAAUUCCAGGUGUAGCGGUGAAAUGCGUAGAGAUCUGGAGGAAUACUGGUGGCGAAGGCGGCCCCCUGGACGAAGACUGACGCUCAGGUGCGAAAGCGUGGGGAGCAAAACAGGAUUAGAUACCCUGGUAGUCCACGCUGUAAACGAUGUCGAUUUGGAGGUUGUGCCCUUGAGGCGUGGCUUCCGGAGCUAACGCGUUAAAUCGACCGCCUGGGGAGUACGGCCGCAAGGUUAAAACUCAAAUGAAUUGACGGGGUCAUAGCUGUUUCCUG
rnacentral:rRNA from 1 species